GUAGGUAUAGCUCAGUUGGUUAGAGCACUAGAUUGUGGUUCUAGGGGUCGUGGGUUCGAGCCCCAUUACUUACCCGA
rnacentral:tRNA from 1 species